rnacentral:rRNA from 1 species
GAGGUAGGUGGUCUCGUUUGUCCGAGGUGAAAUCCCUAGGCUUAACCUAGGACGUGCCUUGGAAACGGCGAGACUAGAGUACUGGAGAGGUUUGCGGGAUACCCGGUGUAGCGGUGAAAUGCGUAGAGAUCGGGUGGAACACCAGAGGCGAAGGCGGCAAACUGGACAGUUACUGACACUAAACUCCGAAAGCGUGGGGAGCAAACA